rnacentral:rRNA from 1 species
UACGAAGGGGGCUAGCGUUGCUCGGAAUCACUGGGCGUAAAGCGCACGUAGGCGGCUUUUUAAGUCAGGGGUGAAAUCCUGGAGCUCAACUCCAGAACUACCUUUGAUACUGAGAAGCUUGAGUCCGGGAGAGGUGAGUGGAACUGCGAGUGUAGAGGUGAAAUUCGUAGAUAUUCGCAAGAACACCAGUGGCGAAGGCGGCUCACUGGCCCGGUACUGACGCUGAGGUGCGAAAGCGUGGGGAGCAAACAGG